rnacentral:rRNA from 1 species
AACGAACGCUGGCGGCAGGCUUAACACAUGCAAGUCGAGGGGUAGAGGCUUUCGGGCCUUGAGACCGGCGCACGGGUGCGUAACGCGUAUGCAAUCUGCCUUGUACUGGGGGAUAGCCCAGAGAAAUUUGGAUUAAUACCCCAUAGUAUUUUCGGUUGGCAUCAACUGAUUAUUAAAGUUUUUCGGUACAAGAUGAGCAUGCGUCCCAUUAGCUAGUCGGUAUGGUAACGGCAUACCAAGGCUACGAUGGGUAGGGGUCCUGAGAGGGAGAUCCCCCACACUGGUACUGAGACACGGACCAGACUCCUACGGGAGGCAGCAGUGAGGAAUAUUGGUCAAUGGUCGCAAGACUGAACCAGCCAUGCCGCGUGCAGGAUGAAGCAUCUAUGGUGUGUAAACUGCUUUUGUACGGGAGGAAACACUCCUACGUGUAGGGGCUUGACGGUACCGUAAGAAUAAGGAUCGGCUAACUCCGUGCCAGCAGCCGCAGUAAUAC